UCAUAAGCCAAGAUUUGUAACACAAACCGGGCAAAUCCCAAGGCUCGAAGUUGUAAAUAUCAGUUUCCGGUAUAACCUCAACGGACCGCUCCAAACCGUCCAUCUUCCGCUUCAGGUAAUACGAGAUCAGCUCCACGUCCGUCGGCGAGAACUUGAACCCCGGAAACACCGUGGCCGCUUCCACUGACUAUUUGAAGUUAAAACAUUUAAAUCCAUAAACAUAAACCGCCUACACAACAAAAAAAAACUUCAGACAGGAUAUAUAUGUUCUUUUCUCAACAUCGAGAACAACACAUGACAUUGGUUCUUACUACAUUCCAUAGCCUUACUCUAGACAAAAGAACAUUACAAUGAGAGCCACUAAACAUAUAAUAACGUCCCAACGUGCCCUGUUUACAGUUUUGAUCGAGUAUAUCCCCACGAAGCAACUUGACAGUUGGUCUGUGCCACUGCUCCCUUUACAUUUCUUCUGCUCUGAUGGUCUUUCCUCUAACAGCGAAGCCAUCUGUUUGUCUAUCAUGCUUGGUAAAGGAAGCACCCUUAUAGCCUUUGAUGCUGAUUCAAGUGUUGGCACUUCGUUCGCUAAGUUCCCCGUGGUGACCGCUUCAUCAACAUUGAUGAUUUCAUCCUUUAGUAUAUCCGCAAAGAAAUCGUCCUCAGUUUGCACCUAAACACACACACACACACAAAACUUAAUCAACAACUACAUUAAUUAAUCAAGAACCAUCCAUCAUGCGCUAUGUGAAAAGUUAGUUGGGUAGAAACAACUAUAUGGCAUAGAAAGUGGAACAUAAGCAAAAAGAAACAGGAGGUUAAUUGUACCGAUCCUGGCAAAGCCUAAUGAAAUAUUCAGUCUUAGCCCCUAAUUUUAAGAGCCAAUCUACAUAGUCCUUACGCCCACAAUUACCUUUUAGCCCCUAAUUUUGAGAGCCAAUCUACAUAGUCUUACGCCCACGAAUUACUUUUUUAAUAAAGAUUUACGCUAAUUGUGGCCCCUAAAUUAGGUCCUGCCUUGAGGAGAGGGGACAAACCUGUAGAUUUUUUGAUGUUUCUGCCAUCUCGUUGAGAAGCUCCUCCCCUGACUCACCGGCAAGGUAAAAAUCAACCAUGCUGUCCCAAUCAGUGAGGCUUCCAGAACUAGCAGCACCACCAUUUUGCAUGACCAUGUGCUUCUCUGUUGGUAAAUCUGGCUCUGGUGCCUUCUGACUUGUAGAAGUAUGAAACUCUUUGUUCCUCCUAAGCCGGCACACAACCAAAGCAUCAUCCUAAAAUUUCGAAAAAUCAAUUAAUUAACUGGAGACAAAGACCAGAACAUCUCAAGUAGCCAAAGUUAACUCUUAAUUAUGUUAAAACAAUGUAUGACAAAGAAAGGAGUCGCAGAAGAGUUUACCAUAGAAACUCCUUUCAUGCAGUACUCGUGCAUAAGCCAUUCGGUUCUUUCGCCUUUUGGUGCACGACCGAUAUGGAAGACAAGCGUCCUCUUUGUCCCAAUGACUUGAGAAGAAGACUUCACGUCACGUUCUUUCCCAGUGGCUUUCCAGUAUCCCAUCUUGGUUGCUCUCCUGUUCUGUGACCCAUGUGGAUACUUUUUGCCUCGGGCACAGAAGAAGAACCAUUCCGUAUCAGAUUUAACUAUCGACUUAUCUGCAAAUUAAUAAUAAAAAAAAGAAUAUUUCAAGAAAACAAGAACUCUCUUAUCCCACUCCACAAGAACAGAAAACGACAAUGCUUAGAGAUUGAAGUGGAAGAUAAUUAAUUAAUUAUGAACAAAUAUAACAAAAGCAUGUCAUAAGCCAAGAUUUGUAACACAAACCGGGCAAAUCCCAAGGCUCGAAGUUGUAAAUAUCAGUUUCCGGUAUAACCUCAACGGACCGCUCCAAACCGUCCAUCUUCCGCUUCAGGUAAUACGAGAUCAGCUCCACGUCCGUCGGCGAGAACUUGAACCCCGGAAACACCGUGGCCGCUUCCACUGACGCCGCCGUGUCCUUAAAACCUCCCAUCGCCUCCGCCUCCAUGAAGAAGUGUUUUCCG
rnacentral:lncRNA from 1 species